ACGCAGCAACGCCGCGUGAGGGACGACGGCCUUCGGGUUGUAAACCUCUUUCAGCUCCGACGAAGCGCGAGUGACGGUAGGAGCUAAAGAAGCGCCGGCUAACUACGUGCCAGCAGCCGCGGUAAGACGUAGGGCGCAAGCGUUGUCCGGAUUUAUUGGGCGUAAAGAGCUCGUAGGCGGUCUGUCGCGUCAGCUGUGAAAUCCCGGGGCUUAACUUCGGGCGUGCAGUUGAUACGGGCAGACUGGAGGCAUGCGGGGGAGAGUGGAAUUCCUGGUGUAGCGGUGAAAUGCGCAGAUAUCAGGAGGAACACCGGUGGCGAAGGCGGCUCUCUGGGCAUGACCUGACGCUGAGGAGCGAAAGCGUGGGUAGCGAACAGGAUUAGAUACCCUGGUAGUCCACGCUGUAAACGUUGGGCGCUAGGUGUGGGGAUCUUUCCACGAUUUCCGUGCCGCAGCUAACGCAUUAAGCGCCCCGCCUGGGGAGUACGGCCGCAAGGUAA
rnacentral:rRNA from 1 species